GAAUAUUGGACAAUGGGGGGAACCCUGAUCCAGCCACGCCGCGUGUGUGAAGAAGGCCUCUUGGUCGUAAAUCACUUUAUGCGAGGAGGAGGCCACCCGAGCUAAUACCUAGAGAUAGUGGACGUGACUCGCAGAAUAAGCCCCGGCUAACUCUGUGCCAGCCGCCGCGGUAAUACAGAGGGUGCAAGCGUUAAUCGGAUUUACUGGGCGUAAAGCGCGCGUAGGUGGCCAAUUAAGUCAAAUGUGAAAUCCCCGAGCUUAACUUGGGAAUUGCAUUCGAUACUGGUUGGCUAGAGUAUGGGAGAGGAUGGUAGAAUUCCAGGUGUAGCGGUGAAAUGCGUAGAGAUCUGGAGGAAUACCGAUGGCGAAGGCGGCCAUCUGGCCUAAUACUGACACUGAGGUGCGAAAGCAUGGGGAGCAAACA
rnacentral:rRNA from 1 species